UUUCCGGUUGAUCCCGCCGGACCUGACUGCUAUCGGAUUGAUACUAAGCCAUGCGAGUCUUUGUAGUAAUACAAGGCAGACGGCUCAGUAACACGUAGUCAACUUACCCUAUGGACAAGAAUAAUCUCGGGAAACUGGGCAUAAUUCUUGAUAGAUCAUAAUGCCUGGAAUGGUUUAUGGUUAAAAUGAUUCGUCGCCAUAGGAUGGGACUGCGGCCUAUCAGCUUGUUGGUGAGGUAAUGGCCCACCAAGGCGAUUACAGGUACGGGCUCUGAGAGGAGAAGCCCGGAGAUGGGUACUGAGACACGGACCCAGGCCCUAUGGGCGCAGCAGGCGAGAAAACUUUGCAAUGUGCGAAAGCACGACAAGGUUAAUCCGAGUGAUUUCUGCUAAAGAAAUCUUUUGCCAGUCAUAAAACCACUGGUGAAUAAGGGGUGGGCAAGUUCUGGUGUCAGCCGCCGCGGUAAAACCAGCACCUCAAGUGGUCAGGAUGAUUAUUGGGCCUAAAGCAUCCGUAGCCGGCUUUGUAAGUUUUCGGUUAAAUCCAUGUGCUCAACGCAUGGGCUGCCGAAAAUACUGCAUAGCUAGGGAGUGGGAGAGGUAGACGGUACUCAGUAGGAAAGGGUAAAAUCCUUUGAUCUAUUGAUGACCACCUGUGGCGAAGGCGGUCUACCAGAACAC
rnacentral:rRNA from 1 species